rnacentral:rRNA from 1 species
AUUGAACGCUGGCGGCAGGCCUAACACAUGCAAGUCGAACGAGUGGCGGACGGGUGAGUAAUGUCUGGGAAACUGCAUGAUGGAGGGGGAUCACUACUGGAAACGGUAGCUAAUACCGCAUACCAUCGGAUGUGCCAAGCUGGGGUUAGCGAGUAGGUGUGGUAAAGGCUCACCUAGGCGACGGUCCCUAGCUGGUCUGAGAGGAUGACCAGCCACACUGGAACUGAGACACGGUCCAGACGCCUACGGGAGGCAGCAGGGGGGAAUAGUGCACAAUGGGCGCAAGCCGGAUGCAGCCAUGCAGCGUGUAUGAAGAAGGCCUUCGGGUUGUAAAGUACUUUCAGCGGGGAGGCGUUACCCGCAGAAGAAGCACCGGCUAACUCCGUGCCAGCAGCCGCGGGAAGUC